rnacentral:rRNA from 1 species
UACAGAGGUCUCAAGCGUUGUUCGGAAUCAUUGGGCGUAAAGGGUUCGUAGGCGGUUUGUCGCGUCGGGAGUGAAAACCUACAGCUUAACUGUGGGCUUGCUUUCGAUACGGGCAGACUUGAGGCAUGCAGGGGAGAACGGAAUUCCUGGUGUAGCGGUGAAAUGCGCAGAUAUCAGGAGGAACACCGGUGGCGAGAGCGGUUCUCUGGGCAUGUUCUGACGCUGAGGAGCGAAAGUGUGGGGAGCGAACAGG